UCCUUCAUAGCUCAGUUGGUAGAGCGCGUCACUAGUAUUGUUCUCACGAUCACGUGACCGCGAUGACGAGGUCAGUCGUUCAAAUCGGCUUGGAGGAA